rnacentral:rRNA from 1 species
GAGGGCCGUCGAAGACUACGACGUUGAUAGGUUGGGUGUGUAAGCGCUGUGAGGCGUUGAGCUAACCAAUACUAAUUGCCCGUGAGGCUUGACCAUAUAACACCCAAGCAAUU